rnacentral:rRNA from 1 species
AGUAACCUGCCUUGGAGAGGGGAAUAACACAUCGAAAGAUGUGCUAAUACCGCAUGAAAUGUCUGAAUCGCAUGGUUCUGGACAUCAAAGAUUUAUCGCUCUGAGAUGGACUCGCGUCUGAUUAGCUGGUUGGCGGGGUAACGGCCCACCAAGGCGACGAUCAGUAGCCGGACUGAGAGGUUGGCCGGCCACAUUGGGACUGAGACACGGCCCAGACUCCUACGGGAGGCAGCAG